GUCGUCUUCGCCUUCGUCCAAGGUACCUCAUAAGCAAAAAACAAGUAACGAGCUGGACUUGGAAAGGCGGCACGGGGAAGGCGAAAUUUUCUCCAUCGAAGGGAGGAGAGAAAGAGAACGGUGAGAAGAGGGAGAUCGUCGGAGAGUCGCGCGGCCGCCGACUUGUGCACACGCCUCUCUCGCUUCGCUUGUGCUUACUUUCACCGGCUUGAAAAAAACGUAGCGCGGAGGAAGUCGGUUCCCACGGCGCGGCGUCUCCGGCCAGUCAGCCUCGCAUAUAAACACCGGCGUUUGUUCGUUCGAUGGUAUCGGAGAACACGAGAGGUAACAGCAGCAGCACCAGCAAGCAGAGACUACCAGUAGCACCAACAGCAGGAGCCCCGUUUGCUGCUGGUGCCAUAGCGAAAACGGAUAACAGAAACCAUCCUGUAUACCAGCCCAACGGAAUAGAUUCAUUAUGCUCGUGACCAAUGCAGCUAUGUUUGCUAGUUCGAAAACAACUAUUUCUCUCGGCAAUCCUUCUAUUUUACUCUUCCCCCCGAUCCACCCACUGCACCACCCUAUUUUCAGUUAUACGAGAACGAGUUACUGGAAAGCUCUUUCCCCAUAGCUUUCCUAGAGAUCAAAGCAAAGAGAAGCUAAGAUAGUUAGAUAAAUAGAUAGAUGGAUAGAUAGAUGGAUGGAUGGACGGAUGGACAGAUGGACGGAUGGAUAAAUGGAUAAAUGGAUGGAUGGAUGGAUGGUUAGAUAGAUAGUAGAUAGAUAGAUAGUUAGAUAGAUAGAUAGAUAGAUCGAUCGAUCGAUCGUUCCGUUUACCUUUGAGUAGGUGUUGACUUCUGUAAAUUGUAUUGAACAACUUUUGAUUUAUCUAUCAUGUUUUCUUCUUUCUCUUUUUUCUUUUUCUUUUCUCUUAAAUACUAAUAUCUACUUUGUCUUCUAGUACCUGAGCGAAUCUAUAAAUUGAUAUAAUGUACAAAUCGAUAAACAAAUAGAUAGAUCGAGAUUGAUAAUCGUAUUUAUUCUGAUAUACAAUAUUAACGGAUAGAUAAAUCUAUGUGAUCAUAUUUAAUACAAUAAUUUACAUUAAUAAUUUAUUAUUUUAAUAUUCUCUAUCUACCCCACAUACCUACCUGCAUUGUAUACCCUACAUAUUUUAGUUCGAAAUUAGUUAAUAUAGAAGUAACGUUAAUAAUUUCACGGAAUUAGAUAGGAUGAUA